CGUGCCGGAGCCUCGCGGGGCCGCGCGGCAAACUGACCGGAAGACACGUGGCGGCGGCGACGCCGGCAGCAGCUGUGCAUCCUGACUGGCCGCGCUGAGGAGAUGCCGUUUCCCUUCUCUCUGCUUCAACAAAUUCUUUGAGGCCAGAGAGAUGUGGAAUGGGACCCCUCCUGACCUUACCAUCUCAGCGUGACCUGGACAGGGGAGAGAGAAGCAGAGACUGAGCAGGCUUUUGCUGAGGACAGGAGCCUUGUGGUGGAAUGAGACUGGACGGAGGAGCAAAAGGAAGAUGCAGUGAAGGAAUCGCUGUCACCUGGUCAUGAAGUUCCUGGCAGAAUCAUUCACUGGAGCAACACUACCAGGCACAGUUCCUGCCCCAGGGGCCCCUGAGGGCUGGAAGAGAGGGAUUACCAGUAAUAUGGGAGCCCCUUCUAAGAAAUCACUCCUCUGGUGCACUCCUCCUCUUCCUUCUUCUCCAGGAGGACCUCCUAUCAGAGAAUACACCACCUUGCAGAGUCUUGGUUUUGACAUGACAUCCUCAGGGAAGAAAGACAUCCAAGAUCCCCAAUCCCUGGGUCUGACAUAAGCGACCCUCAGCCCACUCCCAUAGCACCUCAUACCAUCUCAGGUGGCAUAGAGGCACCCAACGUGGUAUUGUUGUUCAUCUGUCUGCUUUAUUCCUUAAAAGAGGGAUAUAUGUCACUACCCUCAUCAACUGACACACAGUAAACCAUCAAAUACUUGUCAGACAAAUGACUCUGUUGGUCUUCUCAGAUUGUUUUAGAAAGUUCUCCAUCAAUUUUUGCUAUUUGAUUAAUCUCUGCAAAUUGACUCCUACCCAAAGCAUGCAAGGGAAAAUUUUGUCUUAACCUUGAUCAAUUGGUAGUGAGUACUGAUUUAGAAAGGCUGAGUGAACUUUUGUGUCUUCUCUGACUGCCACUCCCCAGGUAAACACACAGUUCACUCUGGGAGGGCUGGGAUCUCCCCAUCUCUGGGCUGUGACACCUUGGACCAGUGGGCUCUGCUGUUGGACCUGGGGGGCUUCAGUGGUGCGGGCAGGGGGCCGCCCGAUGAAGUCCAAGGACAGCCAGCUCUGCCACAUUGUGUAUGAUUCCAGCCUCCAUCACCCACAUCUGCAGCCACCCAAAUGCAGAUUAAGUCCUUUGAUGGCAGGCUCUAAAAAACAGGAGGAAGAUUUUCUCUCUGGUUGGAACAUUUGAAAUAACAUCUUUUCAAGUGCGUUGAAGAUCAGAAUAUAAAUAAGUUGGGGGUGUGGUAGAAAGGAGUAGUGGAAGGAGGGGCUGGGCUAUUCUGAAAGGGGUGGUCUAUUCUGCAGCUUGGUCUAUUCUGAAAGGGGUGGUGGUGAAGCUUGCUUUCUUUUCUCUGCAAAAUGACAAAAUCACUGUGGGGACAUUUACAGGCAGAAUCUUUUUGACAUUUUUAAAUCUCUGAAAUCAUCAAAAAGAAAACAUUCUACCACGUGCAUUGGCACGGGAAAUGCUUUUUGUCGUGGGGUUGUCUAAAAGACACUAAUGGAGCUUGGUUAGCUUCGUCAAGAUGGCUCUCUGAAUUUUUGGAUCUCUGAAACAUUACUUAUAGUCUCCUGAGCAGCAUUUAUGCCACGUGGAAGGUGGGGCAGAGAGUCCUAAGUUCUCACAAGUCACUGCAGAUGCGGCCAGCAUGCCAGGUUCACAUCUCCCUUCUUGGAAUGGAGGGGCAGGGACAGCAAUGAAAAUAUUUGAGGUGUGGGACUCUGUCUGACUACCCUUCACUGACUCAAAUCGGCCUGCAAGUUAGCUGAUGGAGGCCAGUCCUGCACCCCAGCUCAUGCCUAACAACCUAGGAAAAUGAAGGAGCUUCAGCUUUUCAUUCAGGACUAGGAAUGGAGCCCAGAAAUCCCUGGAGGGUCAUUGAGCCUUUGGCUCCCUCACUCCCCCAUGUCCCUUGUCGGUGGUGACUUAUUGGACAAUGUUCAUAAACAAGCACUUGGCUUGGAAAGCAAAGAAACCAUAAUCCUGAUGUCCCAGUGAGGGGCAAGCAGCUUUCACUUUCAGUUACUUGGCCACCUGUAAAUAAAUCACCUACUUUUCCCAGUUUCCACCUGACAUUCCAUCAUGGCCAUCAGUCCAACCUCAACAAUUGCUGGCCCAGUUCAUUGUCCUUUAGGAUCCAGUGUGAUGCAAAAUCCAGCAACCCACUAGCACUUAAUGACAACUCCGAGCAAAGAUGCACUGACCACAGGGACACCUUUUGUGUUACUGAAUCUAUUCCUUUCAUGGAAGAGCGAAGCUGAGGGAGAAAAGGGGCUCGGGCCUUGCAUGUCCAGGCUCAGAGGAUGAGCCUAGGUGGACGGUGCAGCUAGAGCCUCAAACAGACUCUUCAACACAGCAUGACUCCAGACUGUGCCCUUCUAGGAAGCCCGGGACAUACUAUGGGCUGGCUCUGAGGCAACAUGUUAGCCAUAACCUUCAUGUCUAAGAGGGGCUAAGUAGCAUAACCCCACAUGAACAUAGGCUGGUCACUCCUUUUGGAUAUGGGAGGCAGGGUCAGCUCUGUGUCCAGGGUUCCUCUUUUAUAAUUUUUACAGAUGCUCACAGAAAGGUGUGAUAACUUGCUAGGUGCCAAGAACAAGGGAGUCACCUGGCCUGAACAUAAUUCAUGGCAGUAAGCACAUCCAAGGGACUGUCCUGCCCAGAUCCGCACAGGUGUGCUCAAAUACUCAACUCCAACCUUAUCCAAAAAACUGCUUUCAGUUCUUAAACUGCUUCUGGAUUGUUAAACCCUCUGAGCAUUAAUUAGGCAGAAGCUCUGGACCUCUUUUUUUUUUAAUAUUUUAUUUAUUUAUUCAUGAGAGACACAGAGAGGCAGAGACAUAGGCAGAGGGAGAAGCAGGCGCCCUGUGGAGAGUC